UUAAAAGUCAACAGACCCCAGAAGCCUGUGACAUUCCAGAAGUGCCUUUGACCAGGUUCCUUUGCCAAAAUACCUUCUCCUCACCCCACAUCCUAUACCGCACUCCCAGUGGCCACCUUUAACUGCAGACAAUUUCAAUGUCUUACAAAACACAAAAAUUUUGGAGAUGAUUCAGGUCAGCGGUACUGUGUUAAGAACAGGCUGGCUUUGUUCAGCUGCUCAGCUGCUGAGCCCUGCAUCGAGCAGUGGUAGCACAGACCUGCACAGCCUUCCACCAUGCUUCAUCCUUCUACAAAUGCUCAGGCUUGUAACCAUAUGCAAGAUUUGGAUUAGUCAGCUGAAGGAAUAUAUUCAUCUUUCCCCCUUACUCAGUGUCAGAGAUGGGACUUUAUUGACUUCAGUGUGGUACCUCCUCAUUCAGAGCAAUGUAGGAGAUUAAACUCAAAAUUCUGGGAAAAAUUCUUUUUUGACUGUCAUUCCACUUUGUACCUAAGAUGUGGCCUUUUGUGCUUGAUUUUUGUAUAUUUGUGUAGGGUAUAUAUAUGUUUAUAUACUGUUAUACAAAUCAGGAUUAUAAUAUUCUUCAUACAGAAUCUUCCUCUGUCAUUAAAAAGAAAAAAAGAAUCUCUCCUUUCUUCAUACAUUUAUUUUUAAGGCUGCUUUUUUAUUUUUUAUAUACUUCCAAAAAGGCAAGGAAAAUAGAUUUUUAAAAAUCCUUUCAAUUUUUUUAUGUCCUUAACUUCAUACUGCAACAAACAGUGCAGCUCCAUGUUACAAAGAAAUUGCAUUACUACAAGCCCACCCAGAUAGUUUGUGACCUGUUCUUUUGCUAGUCUAAAGGUGACUUUCAUUUUCAUGUUGACUUUACUCUGUGCCCAUUUGGAGGUUCAUUCAGUGAAAUAAAAUUGCCUUGUAAUUAUUUCUACUUAAAGAAAUAUGACAGCUAGAAUUUUUAUGUUAAUUAAUCUUUGUGGUUUUUUCAUUAUUGUGCGUCUGCCUAUCAUAAAUUUCAUUGCAAUCCAGUCUUAAUACAUUCUAUAAAUUAUUGUGGUUUCUUUCAGGCCCAUCAUGCCUUGCAAAUUGUUGACUUUGCACAGAUUUCUGUUGUUUGCUGUAGUACCACCACAUGUAAUUCAGCAGGAAUAGUUUGCAUCUCUGAAAAUACACAAUUUGGAAGGUUACUCAUCAGAAAUGAGCCCAUGGUCAGAGCACAAUCAUGUUACGAGUGUCUGUAAAAAAGUUAAAAGACAUUUUAAAAAGCUAAAAAGUAAUAUCUAAUCCAGGGUAUACUGGACUGAAGGGAACAAAGAAGGCAUUACGUUUCUUCUUGUUUUGCUGGCUCAGUGAAAUUAGGAAGCCACUGUUUCCUCACCUGCAUGCCCAGUAAAGGGCCAUCUGUUUCCUGUUUAAAUGUAAUAUCUCUUACAUGGUUUUUCCAAAACCCCUCUUACAUUAAUCAACGCAAUCCCAAUAAACAGAAACACCAAAUCUUGCUUAUCUGUCUUACUCAAAAAGCAUUUUGGUAGUUGCAUCUACCACACUUUGGCUUUACUAAAAUGCUUUUUUUACACUAACAUUCACUUUUGUUCUCUGAAUUUUAAAAAUGUCUCCUCUAGUUAUAGGCUGAUUUUGCAAGCUUUCUGCAACAGCCUGAACUCCUAAAAUAAUUAUGUGUUGAUUUUUUUUCACUAAGGGUUUAAAUCUGGGUCUGGUGUCAUGUGUUGGAGUUAAACAUCUUCAUGAAUGUUAUUAUAAAUUUAACACUGAGUUAAAGAUAAUAAGGUCAAAUGUAUCCUUGAUACAUUGCUUUGGAUGAAGGUAAAAAAUAAUGAACAUGGUCUGGUCUCAUUAUCAUGGUUUAGAUUUACAGGAAAUCAUUGGUGAAUGGAUACUUCUGGUAGGAAGAAUCAAUGAGCCAAAUUGGUUACUUGGAUUGGGGUGAGAUUUACACUGAGAGCUAAUACCUUUUAUUAUAUCCAAUAAUUGCAGUAUUAUGAUGCCACCACAAUGAAUGCAGACACGAUAAUUAUCGGGCGUCAUCUUUAGAUAA